rnacentral:tRNA from 1 species
AACCAGUUAACGUAGUGGUUUGAGUGCUGGACUAUGACUCUGGAGACCAGGAUUCAAUUCCCAGCUUGGCUG